rnacentral:rRNA from 1 species
AGAGUUUGAUCCUGGCUCAGGAUGAACGCUGGCGGUAUGCUUAACACAUGCAAGUCGAACGAGAGUUUUUAAUUCUAGUGGCGAACGGGUGCGUAAUACGUGAGAAUCUACCCUUAGGAGAAGAAUAACUGCUGGAAACGGCGGCUAAGUCUUCAUACGCCGAGAGGUAAAAUAGUUCUAACUGCCUAAGGAUGAGCUCACGCCUGAUUAGCUUGUUGGUGAGGUAAUGGCUUACCAAGGCCACGAUCAGUAGCUGGUUUGAGAGAACGAUCAGCCACACUGGGACUGAGACACGGCCCAGACUCCUCCGGGAGGCAGCAGUGAGGAAUUUUCCGCAAUGGGCGAAAGCCUGACGGAGCAAUACCGCGUGAGGGAUGAAGUAUCUUGGUAUGUAAACCUCUUUUCUCAAGAAAGAAGCUCUGACGGUACUUGAGGAAUAAGCAUCGGCUAACUCCGUGCCAGCAGCCGCGGUAAUACGGGGGAUGCAAGCGUUAUCCGGAAUCAUUGGGCGUAAAGCGCCUGUAGGUUGUUUGGUAAGUCCGUUGUUAAAGAUUAGGGCCUAACCCUAGGAAAGCAAUAGAAACUACUAGACUCGAGUAUGGCAGGGGUAGAGGGAAUUUCUAGUGUAGCGGUGAAAUGCGUUGAUAUUAGAAAGAACACCGGUGGCGAAGGCGCUCUACUGGACCAUUACUGACACUGAGAGGCGAAAGCUAGGGUAGCAAAAGGGAUUAGAUACCCCUGUAGUCCUAGCCGUAAACGAUGGAUACUAGGUGUUGUGCAAAUUGUACCAGUAUCUUAGCUAACGCGUUAAGUUCCCCGCCUGG